GACGAACGCUGGCGGCGUGCUUAACACAUGCAAGUCGAACGGAAAGGCCCCCUUGUGGGGUACUCGAGUGGCGAACGGGUGAGUAACACGUGAGUAACCUACCCUUGACUUUGGGAUAACUUCAGGAAACUGGGGCUAAUACCGGAUAGGAGCACCUGCUGCAUGGUGGGGGUUGGAAAGUUUCGGCGGUUGGGGAUGGACUCGCGGCUUAUCAGCUUGUUGGUGGGGUAGUGGCUCACCAAGGCUUUGACGGGUAGCCGGCCUGAGAGGGUGACCGGCCACAUUGGGACUGAGAUACGGCCCAGACUCCUACGGGAGGCAGCAGUGGGGAAUAUUGCACAAUGGGCGGAAGCCUGAUGCAGCAACGCCGCGUGCGGGAUGACGGCCUUCGGGUUGUAAACCGCUUUCGCCUGUGGCGAAGCGUGAGUGACGGUAAUGGGUAAAGAAGCACCGGCUAACUACGUG
rnacentral:rRNA from 1 species